GCCAGUGUGCUAUAGUGGUUUGAGUGCUGGACUGUGACUCUAGAGACCAUGGUUCAAAUCCCCAUUCGGACA
rnacentral:tRNA from 1 species